rnacentral:misc_RNA from 1 species
UCUCCGUUGGUGAACCAGCGGAGGGAUCAUUAUCGGGUUUAUAACUCCCAAACCCUAUGUGAACUUACCACUUGUUGCUUCGGCGCGCGCUUCGGCGCCGCCGAGGACACUUAAACUCUUUGUUUUUAUAAGCAUUUCUGAGUGGCCGAAAGGCAAAAUACAAAUGAAUCAAAACUUUCAACAACGGAUCUCUUGGUUCUG